UAGGGAGUCAGUGCAAUGCCACGUGGCCACUAACAGACCGGAUGCUGCACGGGGGCAGUGACCAUCUCUUCCUCUAGGACUUGACACCACUCGGCACAUUUCGGGUUCUGCUGCCAUGUGAGAGCCAGCAUUUCACAGGGUUUCGAGCUGGAGCAGUUUCACUUGAACCCCAGCCCAGAUUCACUGGCAGCUUGAUGGCCUUGGCCUGAGCUACAGGUUUGACUCAACCCUCCAAAAGCAGGUAAGACGCUAAAGGCAACACCUAGGCUGCAGGCCUGCAACUCCCGCUGGGGCAGGCAAGGGAAGAGAAGCAGAGCAGGGGCUGUUAAGUCUCUGUCCCAUCCAGCAAGCACAAGGCAGGAGA